UACGUAGGGUGCAAGCGUUAAUCGGAAUUAUUGGGCGUAAAGCGCGCGCAGGCGGUCCUUUAAGUCUGAUGUGAAAGCCCACGGCUCAACCGUGGAAGGUCAUUGGAAACUGGAGGACUUGAGUACAGAAGAGGAAAGCGGAAUUCCACGUGUAGCGGUGAAAUGCGUAGAGAUGUGGAGGAACACCAGUGGCGAAGGCGGCUUUCUGGUCUGUAACUGACGCUGAGGCGCGAAAGCGUGGGGAGCAAACAGG
rnacentral:rRNA from 1 species